rnacentral:rRNA from 1 species
CUCUGCGCAAGGGAUC